UACGGGGGGAGCAAGCGUUGUUCGGAUUUACGUGGGCGAUAAAGGGCGCGGUGGCGGCGUGACAAGUCACUUGUGAAAUCUCCGGGCUUAACUCGGAACGGUCAAGUGAUACUGUCGUGCUAGAGUACAGAAGGGGCAACUGGAAUUCUCGGUGUAGCGGUGAAAUGCGUAGAUAUCGAGAGGAACACCAGUGGCGAAGGCGGCUCACUGGACUGGUACUGACGCUGAGGCGCGAAAGCGUGGGGAGCAAACGGG
rnacentral:rRNA from 1 species